rnacentral:rRNA from 1 species
AUACGGAGGAUCCGAGCGUUAUCCGGAUUUAUUGGGUUUAAAGAGUGCGCAGGCGGGAGAUUAAGUCGGCGGUGGAAUUUUGCAGCUCAACUGUAAAAGUGCCUUCGAAACUGGGUUCCUUGAGUGUAGAUGAAGUAGGCGGAAUUUGUGGGGUAGCGGUGGAAUGCAUAGAUAUCACGAGGAACUCCGAUUGCGCAGGCAGCUUACUAAACUACUACUGACGCUCAGGCACGAAGGCGUGGGGAUCAAACAGGAUUAGAUACCCUGGUAGUCCACGCAGUAAACGAUGAUUACUAGCUGUUUGCGAUACAAUGUAAGCGGCUGAGCGAAAGCGUUAAGUAAUCCACCUGGGGAGUACGUUCGCAAGAAUGAAACUCAAAUGAAUUGGCGGGG